rnacentral:tmRNA from 1 species
GGGGGCGACAUUGGCUUCGACGUCGAUUACGAACCCUUAGGUGCAUGUCGUGUGGGUAGCAACACACGUACUUCAAGUGCUGCAAAUGAUAGUUGCAAACGACGACAACUACGCUUUAG